GGGUAGCAAACAGGAUNAGAUACCNUGGUAGUCCACNCCCUAAACGANGUCAACUAGCUGUCAGGGCUUUCGGGCUUUGGUAGCGCAGCUAACGCGUGAAGUUGACCNCCUGGGGAGUACGGUCGCAAGAUUAAAACUCAAAGGAAUUGACGGGGACCCGCACAAGCGGUGGAUAAUGUGGAUUAAUUCGAUNCAACGCGAAAAACCUUACCUACCCUUGACAUGUCUAGGAUCCUGAAGAGAUUUAGGA
rnacentral:rRNA from 1 species